UUAAGUAUUUGGAUCAUUUAGAAUUUAUUUAAAUACUCGUUUUUUAAAAUAUAUGUAAUCCGAUUUAUUAGAAUAUAUAUAAAUCUGUUCAAUUUAAAAACUAUUAGAUUUAAUCAGUUAAAAUGUAUGAAUAUGAAUUAAAUAAAUCUAGCCGUGAAACAAACCGGAUAAAUUCUAUGAGAUUGAUUUACAUACAAGUGUCAGGAAACUGACUUUAGCAGAAGCGGAAAUGACGUCUAUUCACACUCCAGUCAGGAGGUGGCGCCAAAAUCAAAAACAGACGCUACAGCACAUGGACUUCGCCAUUUUGUAUUGGACUGGAUCGUCAUCUCACUAGUUUACGAUCGCCAAAUUGUAGGUGAGUAAAGUUAACAAGUUUGAUGUGAUUAUCUAAAAUAUAAUUGUCUGUUGUUUAAUUACAUGUGUGACGCGUUGCAUGUUUCAGAGUAAAAUACACCUCACUACACAGAUGUAAGUUGGAAUAUACAGCAUCAUUUCAUCGUCUAUAUGGUGGGACAACCUGCUAGAGAGGUUGAAGACAUCUGUAUCUACCUCAAAGAAGGCGUGGAGAGACACAUUAAAGAAUAUGUGAAUUGUGAAAUUGGUGAGUUGGGGAUUGCACAGACAGUGGAAGUUUUGCAAAACCUACUUGGUGUCACACAUGGGUGUGAAAUUACUUUUUGGACUCAUUUAUGCACUUAAACUGAACUACCAGAAGAACCUCAAGUGCACCUUUGACCUUUCAAAACAUCCUAAUGGAACUGGACUUGAUACAACCAAGCAAUCACUGAAAGAUGCUUUAGUGAAUACCUGACAGACACGCUGAUGCAUCCCCCUCAAAGUGGGUACAUUUUUGUACAUUUACAAGUGAACUUUUUAACAUUAAAGGAAUAUUGCACUUUCAUUAAACAAAAAUACUGAUAAUUUACUGUCUGUCAUCCAAGAUGCUUGUCUUUUUUUGUUCAGUCGAGAAGAAAUUAUGUUUUUUGAGAAAAACAUUCCAGGAUUUUUCUUAAUUUAAUAGACCUUAUUGGACCUCAACAGUUAAGUUUCAAAGCAGCUUUAAAGGGCUCUAAACGAUCCUAACCGAGGCAUAAGGGUUUAAUCAAUCCAAAAGAUUAUCAUUUUUGGCAAGAAAACUUUUAAAACACAACACCUUGUCUUGCAUUAUCCAUGUGACACACAGUGCGACAUUGUGUACUACGUAAUAAAUGUUUACACAUCACAAAUGUGAAACGCACAUUUGUUGACCAUUUUAAAUAAUAAACGGACCCAAAGACAUUAAUUAGUAUCAUUUCGCAUACAACAACAUCUGAACGCUCCUCUUUCUCCUCGCUUGUAAACACUGGAACGGUAGUUUCAGUUAUGUCAUGCUAGUGUGUCACACAGCUAGUGCAAAACGUUGUGAUUUAAAAGUCCUCUUUUAUUUUUAUUUUUGAAAAUGACAAUCGUUUAGCUAGAUAAGACCCUUAUGCCUUAUUUGGGAUAAUUUAGAGCCCUUUUAAAUCUGCAUUGAAACCGUAAACUUGAGGUCGAAUAAAGUCUUAAAUUGAGAAAAAUCCUGGAAUCUUUAACUCAAUCUUUAUUUCUUCUUGACUGAACAAAGAAAAACAUAAACAUAUGGGGUUAGAAAAUUAUCGGGAUUUUUGUUUUAUUAAAUUGGAAUAUUGCUUUAACAAUUUUAAAAGUUGAAAAGUUUUUGAAAAAUGUAAUUGAUGUAUAUCUAACAUGUAAUUAGAGAUGCAUGAAAAUUGUUAAUGGCACACAGCCACUCAAAACACUAAGCCAUGUGCCAUUUUUUUUUCUUACCACCCAAUCAUUCUAAAUUAUUAUUAUUACAUCAUGUCACAGAUUUCUGAAAAUGUUAAAGUAAUGUUGUUGUCACUGAUUUAUGUCUACCUCGAGUUUUACAGGGUUUUUUUGUAUUUCUGCAGCCUGUUUGCUCAAAAUGUUUGCACUUAUUUGUGGAAUGAGGUUGAUUGUGGCUGAAAUGUCUGAAACACACUUAUUUAUUUAUUUUUGCACACAAUACGAGGUGUAUAAGCCAUGGCUGUCAUGCUAGUUGUUAGCUGCUCUUUUUUGCUGCCUUAUGAGUAAUGCCUUGAAGUAUUAAAUAAAUAUAUUGAAUGCAAAACCAAGUGGUCUGGCUCUUCUUCUUUUUUGUGUUUUUUUGUUAUAGCAUAUUGUGAUUUAGGGUGAAUGGAGGAGGAAUAUAUAAAUGUAUAAAUGGUUUAUUAGUAAGAUACUUAAAUGUAAUGCAUUUUAAGUGAAUUGGGUUUAUUAAUAAAGAAUACAUAAUCCAUUUUUUUUAAUGCAUUUAAAACACAUUGGAUUAAGUAAAACUAUUACAUAAAUUUUACUGGUUUCAUUUACAUAUAUCU